UUAAAGACAAUAAAGUGACUGUCGUGUGAACUUGUUCGGGAAAUGAUGAAAAUGCAAUAAAACUUUCUUAUGUCACAGUCGCUAUCAAGCCCGCUACUUCGGCCAUUCAGCUCUUCACACUAGCGGAACGAACUUCCGGAUGGCAACUGCAACUUCAGUGACAGAUCAAAAGUUGGAAGAAUAAUGAUCUACAAUUAACUGUCCGUCGACUUCCGUUCUAAUCGACCAUGAUGAGGAAAACAAAGAUCCAAUGUCGGCAGGGGGCUUUUUAUUAAAACAAACACUUAAACAAGACAAGAGAAAAGAAUCUACUCGACCAACAGAACAAAUUACACACAUCACAGGGAAGGUAUCGACGAGUGAAUUACUUUGAUGAGAGAGGAUUCGACUAAGCACAUAUCAUCAUGUCCCAGGAAAGGUCACACUUCUUAGAAGUCAGGAGCUUUGAUCCGAAAUAAUACCUCUCCAGAAGACACAAAAGCAUCUCAGGUCUCUCUCUAACUGUUUUAAGUUCCGAGACGAUGGAAAGAUGCAUCAAUUUAUGAAUACUUGCACAUAAAAAAACGAAAUGAAAUGUUCUGUGAUGUUGUGUUACUUUUAUUGAAAUUAAGCACUGAGAACAUAUCUGAUUGUUAGUUUGAUAAUGACAAACAGCUAUUGUGAAA